rnacentral:rRNA from 1 species
UCUGGUGAUUUGAGCGACGAAGUCACACCCGGUCCCAUCCCGAACCCGGUAGUUAAGCUCGUUAGCGCCGAUGGUACUUGGGGGGCGACUCCCUGGGAGAGUAGGUCAUUGCCGGAA